rnacentral:rRNA from 1 species
GUUUGGGGACCCUUGCUCUAAAGGCACCAGAUCCCAUCUGAUCUUGGAAGCUAAGCGGGAUCAGUUCUGAUUAGUACUUGGAUGGAAGUCUGGCAACAAAUACCAGUGCUGUCAGCU